rnacentral:rRNA from 1 species
CUACGGGGUGCACCAGUGGGGAAUAUUGCACAAUGGAGGAAACUCUGAUGCAGCAACGCCGCGUGGAGGAUGACACUUUUCGGAGCGUAAACUCCUUUUAUAUAGGAAGAUAAUGACGGUACUAUAUGAAUAAGCACCGGCUAACUCCGUGCCAGCAGCCGCGGUAAUACGGAGGGUGCAAGCGUUACUCGGAAUCACUGGGCGUAAAGAGCGUGUAGGCGGGUUAAUAAGUCAGAAGUGAAAUCCUAUGGCUCAACCAUAGAACUGCUUUUGAAACUGUUAACCUAGAAUAUGGGAGAGGUAGAUGGAAUUUCUGGUGUAGGGGUAAAAUCCGUAGAGAUCAGAAGGAAUACCGAUUGCGAAGGCGAUCUACUGGAACAUUAUUGACGCUGAGACGCGAAAGCGUGGGGAGCAAACAGGAUUAGAUACCCGCGUAGUC